rnacentral:rRNA from 1 species
AUGGAGAGUUUGAUCCUGGCUCAGGACGAACGCUGGCGGCGUGCUUUAUACAUGCAAGUCAAGGAGAACCUAUUCUUCGGAAUAGUAGUAAACUGGCGAACGGGUGAGUAACACGUAGGUAACCUGCCCUAGAGAUUGGGACAACUUCGGGAAACCGGAGCUAAUACCGAAUGAUGCAGCGGACCCCUUGGGGUACAGUUGUUAAAGCGGGCUUCGGCUCGCGCUUUAGGAUGGGCCUGCGUCCGAUUAGCUUGUUGGUGGGGUAAUAGCCUACCAAGGCAAUGAUCGGUAGCUGGUCUGAGAGGAUGAUCAGCCACACUGGGAUUGAGAUACGGCCCAGACCUCUACGGGGGGCAGCAGUAGGGAAUUUUGCGCAAUGGGCGAAAGCCUGACGCAGCAACGCCGCGUGAUCGAUGAAGCUUCUAGGAGCGUAAAGAUCUGUCGUGAGGGAAGAAAAAUUCGGAGGUAAAUAAUUUUCGUUUUUGACGGUACCUCACAAGAAAGCACCGGCUAACUUCGUGCCAGCAGCCGCGGUAAUACGAGGGGUGCUAGCGUUGUCCGGAAUCAUUGGGCGUAAAGGGUCCGUAGGCGGUUUAACAAGUCAAUUGUUAAAGACAUCGGCUUAACCGAUGAAGUGCAGUUGAAACUGUUGGAAUAGAGUUUAGGAGAGGAAAGUGGAAUUUCUGGUGUAGCGGUGACAUGCGUAGAUAUCAGAAGGAACACCAAUGGCGAAGGCAACUUUCUGGCCUAAAACUGACGCUGAGGGACGAAAGCGUGGGGAGCGAACAGGAUUAGAUACCCUGGUAGUCCACGCCGUAAACGAUGAGUAUUUGUUGUCGGGAGAUUCGACCCUCUCGGUAGCGGAGCUAACGCGUUAAAUACUCCGCCUGGGUACUACGACCGCAAGGUUGAAACUCAAAGGAAUUGACGGGGACCCGCACAAGCGGUGGAACAUGUGGUUUAAUUCGAUGCAACGGAAAAACCCCUUACCGGGUUAAAAUGUUCACGAAAUUUUUUAAAAACAGCCCCCGAGUUUAAAAAAGAGGGAUCCAGGUGAUGUGUUUGUCGUCACUCUUUGGAGAUUUUGGGGUUUAAAGCCCCGCAAAAAGGAACCCCUUCCUUGUUCCCAGCACAAGGUGGGGACUCUAAAGGAACUGCCUGGAUAAUAGGAGGGGGGGGGAUGAUGUCGUCAGAUGUCCCAUGUCCAGGGCUCACCAAAAAUGGUUAGAAAAAGGGGUUAAAGGAAGGGUUUUACCAAUCCCAAAAAACUAACCCAGUUGGGAACUGCAACUGACCCCAUGAAGUGGGAAUCGCAUUUAUCAGAACGCUACGGUGAAUACGUUCCCGGCCCGUACACCCGCCCGCACGCCAUAAAAUCAAGAGAAUCGGGGGGCCUAACCUUCGGGGGGGGUCGGGUAAGGCGGGAACGGGGCGAAGUCGUAAAAGGUAGCCACCGGAAGGUCCCGGGGGAUCCCUUU